rnacentral:lncRNA from 1 species
CAAGACUAGCUGCGACACCAAGUGCAAUCUUAUGCCUUGACAACCAAUCUAACUCCGCUUCACCUCUUUCAACUUUUGUCAACAUAUCCUGCAAACUACCAUUCUUCAUGAACUCAUACACAAGGUAAUGACAAUCAGGUCUAGAAAUAUGAGCUACCAAAGGCAAAAGGUUUCGAUGACGAAUCUGACUAACGGUAUCAAUCUCUGACUUAAUUUGCCGCAGUUAUAUCCUUACUUAAAGGCCACACACACCAUCAGUCGCUAACAAAGUAAUAAAACCAUAGUCGGUAUGUGCUCCAGCUCCAAACAAUCCCUUAGAGUGACCUGUGUUCGAGUGGAGGGACCGCACAAGACACCAAAAUUUUAGNNNNNNNNNNNNNNNNNNNNNNNGUGCGUGUGUUAAAAUAAAUAUAUUAAAUAAUUAUUAUAACUAAAUUUUAAAAUUGAAUUAGACUCUUAUGAUAUUGAUAGUAAAAUUCAUCUGGAGAAUUAAAAGUAACUUAUUAAAUAACAAGAAUGUUGUUCAAUCGGCCCCCCAUAUAUGACAUGCAUGUGUUUAAAUUUAAUUACUUUCAUUUCUCAAACUAUCAUGACACCUGUCUAUUUAAAUGUCAGAUAAGUUCAUUUUUAAUGAAAUAUCAAGACCAGCUGCGACACCAAGUGUAAUCUUGUGCCUUGACAACCAAUCUAACUCCGCUUCACCUCUUUCAACUUUUGUCAAUAUAUCCUGCAAACUACCAUUCUUCAUGAACUCAUACACAAGGUAAUGACAAUCAGGUCUAGAAAUAUGAGCUAACAAAGGCAAAAGGUUUCGAUGACGAAUCUGACCAACGGUAUCAAUCUCUGACUUAAUUUGAUGCAGUUAUAUCCUUACUUAAAGGCCUCGCACACCAUCAGUCGCUAACAAAGUAAUAAAACCAUAGUCGUUAUGUGCUCCAGCUCCAAACAAUCCCUUAGAGUGACCUGUGUUCGAGUGGAGGGACCGCACANNNNNNNNNNNNNNNNNNNNNNNNNNNNNNGUCGACCUGUCUGUUUAAAUGUCAGAUAAGUUCAUUUUUAAUGAAAUAUCAAGACCAGCUGCGACACCAAGUGCAAUCUUAUGCCUUGACAACCAAUCUAACUCCGCUUCACCACCUUCAACUUUUGUCAAUAUAUCCUGCAAACUACCAUUCUUCAUGAACUAAUACACAAGGUAAUGACAAUCAGGUCUAGAAAUAUGAGCUAACAAAGGCAAAAGGUUUCGAUGACGAAUCUGACCAACGGUAUCAAUCUCUGACUUAAUUUGCCGCA